AGGUAGUAAUAAUAAUUAAAACCCAUUUACGCCGGCGGCGUUUUAUCUUAUUAGAGGAACUUGUCUUUUAAUCGAUAAUACACGAUAUAUUUCACUUAUUUUAAAAACUUAUAUACCACCAUCUUAAGAUUAAACUUUAAAUAUCAUUCUCAAUAAUAUAUAACAAGUUAGGUCAUGGUGUAAUCUAUAAAUAAGAAGUUGAUGAGUUACUUUAAAUAUAAUUUAAGGAAUACAAUUUAUAAAUUAUUAUGAAAAAGGAUUUAAAUGUAAUUAUUCAGAUAAUAUCAAACUAUGAAUUAGAAAUAAAUGUGC
rnacentral:rRNA from 1 species